rnacentral:rRNA from 1 species
GGUAACCGGCUCACCAAGGCAUCGACGGGUAGCUGGUCUGAGAGGAUGAUCAGCCACACUGGGACUGAGACACGGCCCAGACUCCUACGGGAGGCAGCAGUGGGGAAUCUUGCACAAUGGGCGAAAGCCUGAUGCAGCAACGCCGCGUGCGGGAAGAAGGCCUUAGGGUUGUAAACCGCUUUCAGCAGGGAAGAAACUGACGGUACCUGCAGAAGAAGAUGCGGCCAACUACGUGCCAGCAGCCGCGGUGACACGUAGGCAUCAAGCGUUAUCCGGAUUUAUUGGGCGUAAAGAGCUCGUAGGCGGUUCGGUAAGUCGGGUGUGAAAACUCUGGGCUCAACCCAGAGAGGCCACUCGAUACUGCUGUGACUAGAGUGCGGUAGGGGAGCGGGGAAUUCCUGGUGUAGCGGUGAAAUGCGCAGAUAUCAGGAGGAACACCAGUGGCGAAGGCGCCGCUCUGGGCCGUAACUGACGCUGAGGAGCGAAAGCAUGGGUAGCAAACAGGAUUAGAUACCCUGGUAGUCCAUGCCGUAAACGUUGGGCACUAGGU